GCCUGGGUGGCUCGGUUGGUUGGGCGUCUGACUUCAGCUCAGGUCAUGAUCUCACCAUCCGUGGGUUCAAGCCCCGUGUCGGGCU
rnacentral:tRNA from 1 species